GACGAACGCUGGCGGCGUGCUUAACACAUGCAAGUCGAACGGAAAGGCCCUGCUUUUGUGGGGUGCUCGAGUGGCGAACGGGUGAGUAACACGUGAGUAACCUGCCCUUGACUUUGGGAUAACUUCAGGAAACUGGGGCUAAUACCGGAUAGGAGCUCCUGCUGCAUGGUGGGGGUUGGAAAGUUUCGGCGGUUGGGGAUGGACUCGCGGCUUAUCAGCUUGUUGGGGGGUAGUGGCUUACCAAGGCCUUGACGGGUAGCCGGCCUGAGAGGGUGACCGGCCACAUUGGGACUGAGAUACGGCCCAGACUCCUACGGGAGGCAGCAGUGGGGAAUAUUGCACAAUGGGCGGAAGCCUGAUGCAGCAACGCCGCGUGCGGGAUGACGGCCUUCGGGUUGUAAACCGCUUUCGCCUGUGACGAAGCGUGAGUGACGGUAAUGGGUAAAGAAGCACCGGCUAACUACGUG
rnacentral:rRNA from 1 species